rnacentral:rRNA from 1 species
CAGUCGCCACGGUAAUACAGAGGGUGCGAGCGUUAAUCGGAUUUACUGGGCGUAAAGCGUGCGUAGGCGGCUUUUUAAGUCGGAUGUGAAAUCCCUGAGCUUAACUUAGGAAUUGCAUUCGAUACUGGGAAGCUAGAGUAUUGGAGAGGAUGGUAGAAUUCCAGGUGUAGCGGUGAAAUGCGUAGAGAUCUGGAGGAAUACCGAUGGCGAAGGCAGCCCCCUGGGCCAAUACUGACGCUCAUGCACGAAAGCGUGGGGAGCAAACAGGAUUAGAUACCCCUGUAGUCCCUGUCUCUUAUAC